rnacentral:ncRNA from 2 species
UGUGCUGAGGAGCGCUGCAGCGGUUUGUUCCGUGAGGCUCAACAUAGGCGGGUAUUGUUACAACGGCGCUCGUUCAUA